rnacentral:lncRNA from 10 species
AUUAUAAAAGUCUCUGUCACUGACAUUUGUAGACAAUCACAAUUGAUCUGAAGUGUCUUCACACUAACUGUUCACUCCAUGGAGUGGUUGUAGCCAAGGUAGGAUCGUUAGCAAAUAAAGUUGGAGAAGCCAUUUUGUGUCUCAAAUUGCACUCAGGAAUACAGGAGAGUUCUUAGCAUGACUGAGACCAUAUAGCCAUUUACUUGGAAGCUGAAGUUCCUGUCAUGGAUGUCCUAACACCAAGCUCAGUUCUGCAGCAAAGCAAAAGUGUACUCACUGGGCAGACAGACACCGAUUACAGGACUCUCUCUAGAGACACGGCCAUACCCUGAAUCUAUUUACUGCCCCCGAACAUACUAGGCACCAGGCACUGUUUAGAGAGAAGCCCCAUUGCUGCAAUUGGAAUAGCCCUGGCCUAGCAGGGCUAUUCCUUGUCCCAUUGCAGAUCAUUAU